rnacentral:rRNA from 1 species
CCUACGGGAGGCUGCAGUGGGGAAUAUUGGACAAUGGGGGGAACCCUGAUCCAGCCAUGCCGCGUGUGUGAAGAAGGCCCUCGGGUUGUAAAGCACUUUCAGUGAGGAAGAACGCCUGGUGGUUAAUACCCAUCAGGAAAGACAUCACUCACAGAAGAAGCACCGGCUAACUCCGUGUCAGCAGCCGCGGUAAUACGGAGGGUGCGAGCGUUAAUCGGAAUUACUGGGCGUAAAGCGCGCGUAGGUGGCUUGAUAAGCCGGUUGUGAAAGCCCCGGGCUCAACCUGGGAACGGCAUCCGGAACUGUCAAGCUAGAGUGCAGGAGAGGAAGGUAGAAUUCCCGGUGUAGCGGUGAAAUGCGUAGAGAUCGGGAGGAAUACCAGUGGCGAAGGCGGCCUUCUGGACUGACACUGACACUGAGGUGCGAAAGCGUGGGUAGCAAACAGGAUUAGAUACCCCAGUAGUC